rnacentral:lncRNA from 1 species
UGAGUUAGGAUUUAAGAUUUGAUUAAGAUUUGGUUAGAAUUUAGGAUUGGACUAGGUUUUUGGAUUUGAUUUAAGGUUUUUUUAGGAUUUAAGAUUUGGCCUAAGUUUAAUUCAAGUUCAUUAGAGUUUUAAUUAGGAUUAAAUUAGAAUUUAGUUAAGAUUUAUUUAAAAUAUAUUUUUUAUUAUUCUAAUAUUUCUUUAGGAUUUCUUACGGAUUCUUUUAAGGUUUAUUAUGGAUUUCUUUUGAAUAUUCUUAAGAUUUUUUAUUGUUUCUUUUUUAGUUUCUUAAAGUUUUUUUCUUAGUUUGAUUAAAGCUUGCUUAACAUUGUUAAGGUUUAAUUAGAAUUUAUUUAAUAUUCUAUUAGAAUUAUAAAUUUUUUAUUACAAUUUCCAUUCUAUCUUCUACAAUCAAGUGCUGUGUACAUUCUUGAGCAAGACUUUAAUUAAUAUGACAAUAUGAUCAAGAGGAACUAGAAAUUAGACAUGCCAUAAAUGUAUGGCGACACUAUCCAUUAAAGAAGCCGAUAACUAUAUGGACUAACUAUAGGCUCUUGCUACAUGAUUUC